GUUGGAAUGACAAUGAAGAGGGGGUUGGGUCACGGGAGUGAGCAUUGGAGUGGGGGUUGGGUCACGGGAGUGGGGUCUUAGGGACCCUCAGCCCUCCUUGAGAAUCCUGAGCAUGAUGUCUGGCAGAGCCUGGACGCUGCCCUCUCCUAAGCAGCCCUUCCCUGAUCACACGAGCUCUGACUUCAGAGUCCCCAGUGGUUUAAGCAGCAAGGGGGCUGGGGGUGGCCCAGCCUGAGAAGUCCACCACCAGAUGGUCCAGGACUGGCAUGAAGGGAUUAUUUGGGGUCCUCUAUCUGGGGUAAGUGGGUCCUCAGUCCUCCCUCAGCAUGUCACCUUGCCUCCUUACAGAGCCUGGGCCCGCUUCCCUCCACCGAUCUCAAGCCGCCCCUCAGACCGAAAACCUCGCUUCUCUCUAACCACUAAUGCUCAAGUCAGUGGCGUCACAUCUGGGCACCUGGGCUUCCCUGGGUUGAGAGCAGGGGUGGAACCGGAUUCUGCCUGGCUUGGGCUGGGGGGUUGAUUUGUGAAGCAGAGAACAGCAGCCCAAAUUUGAUUGUCACGUUGGCAGCCACAGGGAGCGCCUCAAAAACCUUGAAUAAUAGAAUAACAUAAUGAAACCAGAACACCUGUCACUCAGCAUCAACAACCUUCAAUACAUGUCAUAUCUGGUUCCAGUUUGAGGCUCACCUACUUGUCCCCUCCACUGGACCUCUUUCCCUGCCAUUGUUUUGUUGUUUUUGGAAAGAAACAGAUCUUGCGCUCUCUGCAGUUUUCCAUAGUCUGGGUUUUGCUGAAUGCAACACUGUGAUGUCCUUUAUCAUAUUCUUCAGCCCUUCAUUUCUAGGGCUACAAGAUGCUCCUGGUUCAUCUUGUUUAUGCCCUGCCCCAGUGCUAAACUAAGCUAUUUCUCCAGAGGUCUGGUUCGCUUCAUUGGGAAAUGGUUCUAGGUGGGAAUCGACAUCUGGGUUCUAGGUGUGCUCGUUGCUACAGAGUAGUUUUUAGUCAUAGGCUUCUCUGCUGAGAACAAUGAAAUAUAUGUUUGUAUAUACCACGUAUAUACACAUCUGUUGAAUUUAUAUAUGUAAACAUUUGCCUAUAUAUUAAAUUAAAUACAAUUUUAUACUGAGGUCUUCAACUCUAAUCCGUUACCACAAGGAUCAUUCUAGCUUUCUCUUCUUGUUUUUCUAUAGUCUAUCACUCCAUCCGUGAGAAACCUGUCUCCCAUCAUCCACUAACCAUUUAGUUAAUAGUUUAAUACCAGCAUGUGCAUACAGCAGAUUUGGAUUUGGUAACCCAUAACGUUGUGCCUCCAUAAGAAAAACAAACAAACAAACAAACAAACCUUGUAUCAGUUACAGUGCAGUACUUCUGUGUAGCUCCUUUGGCCUUUAGUCUUACAGACUCCACUAAUUUUCAACAUUAUUAAGACAGUAAUAACGACCUCAUAAUUCCCCCCACUUGCUUCACUGAGGUAAUUUCAUACAUUUAUAAUACAUCUAGGUUUAUGUGUGUGUGUGCGUGCGCACACGUGCAACAUUCUGCAUUCUGUCCUAUGAUUUUUCCAACCUCUUAUUUUUAAAAUUUGCACACUUUAAGCUUCACUUUUUGUGCUGUAAGCAUCUGUGGGUUUUGAAAAAUGUCUGCUGCCCUUGUCUUGGUCCAUUCGGGCUGCCCGAACAAAAAUACCAUAGACUGGGUGGCAUAUAAAUGACAGAAUUUUAUUUCUCAUGCUUCUGGUGGCUGGGAAGUCCAAGAUCAGGUUCAACAUUUGCUGACAAAUUUUGUGUCUGGCAGGAACCUGCUUCCCAGUUCAUAGACAGCUCUCUUUCCCAUGUCCUCACAUGGAAGACGGGGCAAGGGAUCUCUGUGGGAUCUGUUUAAUAAAGACACUAAUGCUAUUCAUGACGGCUCUGCUGUCAUGAUUUAAUCAGCCCCCAAAUGACCCACCUCAUACCUAAUACCAUCACCUUGGUGUUAGGAUUUCAACAUAUGAAUUUUCUGGAAAGACAAACAUUGAGACCCAGACAACGUUGUAUCCACCAUUGCAGUAUCAUGCAUAGUAGUUUCACUGCACUAAUAAGUAGCCUGUGCUCCUCUUAUAGCCCCCUUGGCUCCCACUGAUAGGUUUAUGAUAUCUAUAAUUUUGCCUUUUCCAGAAUGUCAUAUAAGUGAAAUCUUACCCUAUCUAGGCUUUUCAGACUGUAUUCUUUCAUACAGCAAUAUGAGCAUAAGACUCACCCAUGUCUUUGUGUGGCUUGUAACAUAUCCUUUUAUUGACUAAUGGUAGCUCAUUUUAUGGUUGUGCCAUGUUUUGUUAUCCAUUCACCUAAUGCAAUAUAUCUUGGAUGCCUCUAUUUUUAUAAAAUAGUGAUUAUAAAAUAAGUUAUUGUAUACAUUCAUAUACAAGUUUUUAUGUAGAAAUAAAUUUUAAAAUCAGCUAGAUAAAAUGCCUAGGAGUAUGAUUGCUGAAUCUUAUGGUAAGACUAUGUUUAGUUUUUUAAAGAAAAUGUCAGAUUAACUUCCAAAGUCGUUUUGCAUUUCUACCAGUAAUGAAUGAAAGUUUCUGUUGUUCCACGUUUUCACUAGCAAUUGGUCUUGUAUUUUUUUGGUGGGGGGAGGGAUUUCAGACAUUCUAGAAGGUAUGUAGUGGUGUCUCAUUUUAGCACACAAUUCUCUAAUGACAAAGGACUUUCAGCACCUUCAAUAUGUUUACUUGUCAUCUGUAUAUCUUCUUUGGUGAAACAUCUGUUCAGAUCUUUUGACUGUUUUCAGUUAUUUUUCUGUUGUUGAGUUUUAAGAAUCCGUGUAUAUUAUAGAUACAUGUUGUUUAUCAGAAAUGUGUACUACAGAUGUUUUCUCUUAGUCCGCAGCUUUUGUUUUCAUUCUGUUUACAGUGUCUUUUGAAGAGCAUAAGACUUUUAUUUUAAUACACUCCAAUUUGGCAAUUUUUUCUUUCAUUGAUCAUGAUUUUGGUGUUGAAUUUAAAAACACAUCACCAAACUUAAGCUUACGUAGAUAUUCUCUUAUGUUUUCUUAGAGAAGUUGUAUAGUUUUUGCAUUUGCAUUAUCUCUAUGAUGUAUCUUUGGUUAAUUUUCGUGAAAUACCUAAG
rnacentral:lncRNA from 1 species